rnacentral:rRNA from 1 species
AUUGAACGCUGGCGGCAGGCCUAACACAUGCAAGUCGAGCGAGCGGCGGACGGUUGAGUAAUGUAUGGGGACUGCCCGAUAGAGGGGGAUAACAACUGGAAACCACUGCUAAUACAGCAUUCAGUCCGAUAACCAUGAUGGGAUUAGCUAGUAGGUAAGGUAAUUGCUUACCUAGGGGACGAUCCCUAGCUGGUCUGAGAGGUUGAUCAGCCACACUGGGACUGAGACACGGCCCAGACUCCUACGGAGGCAGCAGGGGGGAAUAUUGGACAAUGGGCGCAAGCCUGAUGCAGCCAUGCCGCGUGUAUGAAGAAGGCCCUAGGGUUGUAAAGUACUUUCAGUCGGGAGGCGUUACCGAAAGAAGAAGCACCGGCUAACUCCGGGCCAGCAGCCGCGGUAAUUC